GAUUAAGCCGAUAAACCCAUCAAACUAACCGUUUCAGUCGUCAUAUAAACAAAUAAAAAAAAUACCGUUUACUAACACCACUGUUGAGAACUGUCAGUUCUCGGUGGCGUCAAGCCAAGCACACGAAAUUAUAAGGAGCCCUGAGCAGUUCAGUAGUGCAUUAAAUUUGAUUCAAACGAUAAAUUUAGAAUUUGGUCUAUACAUAAGGUUGAUCGGCUGAUGGAGAGCGAUUCGAGAUUGUAGUACUUGUGUUGGAAAAUAAAAGUUGCGGGCAUCGGACUUCAAAUCAGCUACCGAAAAUACCCCCAAUGAUUUACCGGAUUCGUCGGACAACUCAUACGAGCUGGUCCCAACUCGGGCAAGCA